rnacentral:rRNA from 1 species
GAGAAAAGCAGGGGAUCGCAAGACCUUGCGCUUUUGGAGCGGCCGAUGUCUGAUUAGCUAGUUGGUGAGGUAAAGGCUUACCAAGGCGUCGAUCAGUAGCUGGUCUGAGAGGACGACCAGCCACACUGGGACUGAGACACGGCCCAGACUCCUACGCGAGGCAGCAGUGGGGAAUUUUGGACAAUGGGGGAAACCCUGAUCCAGCCAUGCCGCGUGAGUGAAGAAAGCCUUCGGGUUGUAAAGCUCUUUCAGCCGGAACGAAACGGUCACGGCUAAUACCCGUGACUACUGACGGUACCGGAAGAAGAAGCACCGGCUAACUACGUGCCAGCAGCCGCGGUAAUACGGAGGGUGCGAGCGUUAAUCGGAAUUACUGGGCGUAAAGCGUGCGCAGGCGGUUUUGUAAGUCAGAUGUGAAAUCCCCGGGCUUAACCUGGGAACUGCGUUUGAAACUACAAGGCUAGAGUGUGUC